rnacentral:ncRNA from 1 species
GGCGUUCUUAGAGCCCUCAGCGUGGGUGUGUUAAUAGUGAUGGCUUUUGGCCGAGCCGCACGGUUAGAGAAUC